CGAACAUAAGAUAAUAGAGUUGAAAGAUAAAAUUUUCACAAAAAAUGGAAAAACACAUUUGCCAAUCUUUUCUCUUGGGACUUUUUUGCAUUAUGGUUGUCCUGGCUUCGGCAGGACUACCAACAGGAACCGAUCCAGACAUCGACUGCACUGGUCAUGGACCAUGUGUAGAUUGCAAAGAAAGGUGCAUUAAUGAAGGAUACAAAAAAGGAGGUGCGUGUUUAGGGUUUCCUCUUUGUUGCUGUAUGAAGAAUUAAAAGAAAUCUACAUUGAGGAGUUAACUAAAUAAGAAGCUUCUUCCUCCAUUGCUUUAUGGAAGCUUUAAUUAUGAAAUAAUUAUCAAUGUGUUUUUACAUUUCAUUUUGGAUGAAUGAUAAGAAUAAUGCAUGUAACAUGAAAUAAAAUAUUCAUCGGUGUAUUUUCUUUAAGCUUCUUCCCAUUUGUGUAUUUAAUUUCCAUGUCAUACCCUUAACGGAAUCAUAUAUUUAAGAAA